UACCUACGGGAGGCAGCAGUGGGGAAUAUUGCACAAUGGGGGAAACCCUGAUGCAGCGACGCCGCGUGAGUGAAGAAGUAUUUCGGUAUGUAAAGCUCUAUCAGCAGGAACGAGACAAGACGGUACCUGACUAAGAAGCCCCGGCUAACUACGUGCCAGCAGCCGCGGUAAUACGUAGGGGGCAAGCGUUAUCCGGAUUUACUGGGUGUAAAGGGAGCGUAGACGGCACUGCAAGUCCGGAGUGAAAGCCCACAGCCCAACUGUGGGACUGCUCUGGAAACUGUGGCGCUCGAGUGCGGGAGGGG
rnacentral:rRNA from 1 species